UCCAGGGAUGGUACUAGCUUCAGCAGCACAUACAGAGAGAAGAUUAGCGUGGCCCCUGAGCAAGUAUGACACGCAAAUCCGUGAAGUGUUCCAUAUUUUU
ensembl:snRNA U6 U6 spliceosomal RNA